rnacentral:rRNA from 1 species
UAGCGUAUAUUAAAGUUGUUGCGGUUAAAAAGCUCGUAGUUGGAUUUCUGUUGAGAGCGGCCGGUCCACCCCUUGGGUGAGUAUCUGGAUUGAUCUCGGCAUCCUCCUGAAAAACGUUUCUGCGCUUGAUUGCGUGGUACGGUUUGCAGGACUUUUACUUUGAGGAAAUUAGAGUGUUCACGGCAGGCAUACGCCUUGAAUAUAUUAGCAUGGAAUAAUAGUAUAGGAUCUUGGUUCUAUUUUGUUGGUUUCUAGAGCUAAGAUAAUGAUUAAUAGGGACAAUUGGGGGCAUUCGUACUACGGCGUC